GACUUCAGAUCUAUUCUUUGAAAAGAGACGUGUGCCUCUCAACAAAAUGAGCAAGGAUUCAGCAUGUGCGCAUGCGACUGUGGUGGCAGAUUGUUGACAAAAUUACUCUGGCACCAGUUUCUAUAAGGUUGGAACAAAAACGGCGCCCACUGCGGCCCUUUCUGGAACAGUUUGGACACCCCUGCUGUAGACUACUUCAUCCAGGUAAUGAUCCAGCUUCAGACACCACAAGAACUGCGCCUGUGAAGUAUAUGCCCAGCGUCCCAUUCUAUGACCAAUGGAUAUCUCCCAGUAGAAGCAUCAGUUGCAGUAAGUGCAGUUUUAAUAUUGUCAUCAUACCAGAGAACACCAAACCACCAUGUACAUUAAUGCAACUUUAUUGACAUGUAGACGGCUACUACUGACUAAGGUUGGCUUUGUGCAUCACACCAAAGAGAUCAAAAUACACAUUAGAUGCUCUGUUGGCCAGAUACCAAGGGUUGCAUUUUUAUAUUGACAUACAAAGAAUAUGAAAACAGAGGUACACCAAAGUACCCAUAGAAAGGAAUCUGGCAGACAAUGACAAGAAGACAUGUGUUGCUGUGUCCGAGUUCUUCAUGCUUUUAUUUUGGUGAUUUCCAGUUGUGUCUCGUUUCCGUUUCCUUGUUUUUUCCACACCUUUCGAGCAACACGUCUGACAUUCAACAGCUAAUCAUGUCUUCAUGGAUAUCGACGCCUCUGUGCCAGGACUUGUCGCCAGAUGGUUACUUCACGUUCCUACGGUAAACUCUUCCAAGACUCCACUCUCUCGUUUUGCCUCUCUGAAUAUUCUAAAUUCUGUCCGCGCUUGAUUCCCUUUUCAGCCGCCUCCUUCACUCUCGUUCUUCUCGCUUUGUGUCUGUUUCCACAAUUAUUUUCCUGUCGCUCCAUGAGUGUUAUGUAAAUCUCACUUUUGUUUUUCUGAUAGUUAGCGUUAUUUCCUCAUGUGUGUUUGUGUUUUCCACCACCGAGCGGUUUCUGUUGAUUGGGCCUCGCGAGUUGUGUGUAUUUCCUGGUCCGUGUUCUGGUUCUGGCGUCCUUGGUUCAUCAUAUCUGUACAACUGUGUAUAACUUUGUCAUUGUUUGUUAUAUCUUCACACAGAAAGCCAUGACAAAAGAAUUAAUAAACAAAUGUGACGAUUCACUCUAGUGGACACUGACUGAAGUUUUGUUUUCUUCAUGACAGUUUCACUGAAAUGGUGAGAGCUGUAGAGACAUUGAAAAAUCAAAGCUGCCAGUUUCACACCCUCAUUUCUUCCAUGUGGUUUUCAAUUAAGCUUUGACUGACUUGUGUCAUUUCACAAGGAUUGUUGAAGCGUUGAUGAUGAUGGUAACUGACUCUAAUAGCAAAGGUCAGCAGAGCUCCACCAUAUCAAACUCUCUAUUCAGUUUCACGUAAUUCAUUUCCCACUGAGCUUCUGUCAAAGAGAGCAUUGGAAACUCUGUUUUUGAUGACAUGGUGAUUAUCGAUUGAUUGAAAUUGAUCUAAACACUGACCUUCUGUGGGAAGCUUGUAUUGUGCUCUAUUGUUUCAUUGUUUCACUUUCAUUGCUUCCCAAAUUUCCAGUCAAGCUAAGCCUGUUUCUUUUUUUUUGUUUGUUUGUUUUUUAAGGUUUAACGGUCAUGAGUGUGUCCAAAAAAGUGAACAUGUAGGAAUGUUUGGCUCUUAGUCUCUUAGCCUGAAAGUCUGAUAGGUGGCGCUCUUGAUUUACAAAAAUA